rnacentral:rRNA from 1 species
CUACGGGGCGAGCAGUGAGGAAUUUUGCGCAAUGGGGGGAACCCUGACGCAGCAACGCCGCGUGAGUGAUGAAGGCUUUCGGGUCGUAAAGCUCUGUCAAGUGGGAAGAACCUAUGCAGUGUUAAUAUCACUGUAUACUGACGGUACCACUGAAGGAAGCACCGGCUAACUCCGUGCCAGCAGCCGCGGUAAUACGGGGGGUGCAAGCGUUAUUCGAAAUCAUUGGGCGUAAAGGGCACGUAGGCGGCUUGGUAAGUCAGAUGUGAAAGCCCGGGGCUUAACCCCGGAAGUGCAUUUGAUACUGUCAGGCUUGAGUAUGGGAGAGGGAAGUGGAAUUCCUGGUGUAGAGGUGAAAUUCGUAGAUAUCAGGAGGAACACCGGUGGCGAAGGCGACUUCCUGGACCAAUACUGACGCUGAGGUGCGAAGGCGUGGGUAGCAAACAGGAUUAGAUACCCUCGUAGUC